UGUUUAAAGGGCUAGAGACAAAACUGCCGAGCAGAAUAUUCCAGUUUAUCCCGUGGAAUAGGAAGGAAUGGCCCCAGACAUAAUUACAAUGACACUGACAGAAGAUGCGGAAGAACAAUUCGUGCCAGAUCCCUGAUCCGCGCUGCAUCCAAAUGUGGUAAAACCCUGAAAAGCUCUGACGUAGGAGAGCCCUGCUUGUCCUGGUCUGAUCCUGAAUGACACUGACACCCACUGACUUCUCCCUGCAACAGAUGCUGCUUAGGAAAAAUACGAGGAUUUGGACAAACGAUAGGAAAAAAAGGUUUAUUUCCAAAAUAUAGCCUUUAAACACAGGGCACUGGCGUGUGUGGCAGGGAUGGAACACAACAUUGACCAGAUUCCUCAUGUCCUGACUUUAUUACCACACUGAAUAUGGAGAAAGGGAAAGAAUAAAGCCUUCCCAGGCAGGAAUAAAGCUCAAAUCUCAGCUUUUCAGACUCCAUAAAGGAGCAAGGAGGAUGGUUCAUGGCAGAGAGAGCUUCCCUGGUAAUAUCCAGAUGUCCCUGUCCUCCCCACCCAGCAGUUGCCCUGGAAAAUGUCUGAUGGCUGGGUUGUGUUAUAGCAGAAAUUAGGGAUUUUCCAGCUGGACAACAGGCUGUGGCCAUAGGGCAUCUGCAUCCCAACGCCUUUCCCUGCCCUUUACCUCAGCUGGCCCUUUGCAAUGGGCUGCGGUGAAAUCAUGUUCCCAAUGGCAGGAACACAAAAUAACUCAUGAUGUGCCUCAAACUGUGAGCAAAGAGUAUCUGAUCCUGCCCAAACACAGACCUGCUCGCUUCAAAGGGGGCAAUAUUUACUCAGUAAUCAGCAUCUAACUCCCUUUCCCGGCCCAAAUAUUCCCUUCUGUGCUCAGCCACAUUUUCUGCCCAUCCAGAAAAUCUGCAUGAGGUGGGCUGGGUGAACAUGGGGAUGAGAGUAGUGCUCCCAGGGAAUGCCUGGAUCCCAGGGAUCAUCCCAAGGGCUACAAGCCCUGACACCUCAGGACCAAGGAUUUUCUCCUGGCUCAUUUUAUUUAUAACCACCAAGCUUGGGCAGGGCUACUGACAAUCCAGAUUUCUGUGCUUUCCACAUUUUCAAAAAAAAGCUUUCCCCCAUGUAAGUGAGCAAAGAAACACCUUCCUUUCCUCAGGGAUGGCGAAAUAGGAGCAAAGAACCAAAUUCCAGCCUCGAAGUGCGAUUUAGAGCUCCCAGGAGGCACAAGAUCUCCGUCUUGCCAUCCCUUUGCUGGCUUCAACAUCUCAGAAUGACCAGCUGGGCAGAAUGAAAUUCCUGCCAUUCCCAGAUACUGUGAUAAAUAUUUAAUAAAUAAUCGAAUUAAACCCUAA